rnacentral:rRNA from 1 species
GAAACGGGGGGUUAACCGAAAAAAUUUUUGACCCCCCAGGUUUAAAAUUAAAAGGGGGGUUUGGGCUUUCAAUUUAAAGAAGGACCCCGGUUUCCCUUAGGUAUGGUGGGGGGGUAACGGCCUCCCCCAAGGAAACGGUGGGUUCCCCCCCUUGAAGGGUGUUUUGCCCCACCGGGGGAUUGAAACCCGGCCCCAAUUUUUUUGGGGGGGGCCCCCGUAGGGAAUUUUUCCCCAAAGGAAGGAAAGUUUGGAGGGAGAAAACGCCGGCCUGAAGGAAGGAAGGCUUUCGGGUUGUAAAAAUUUUGUUUGUUAGGGAAGAACAAAUUGCUAGUUGAAUAAGGUGGCACCUUGACGGUACCUAACCAGGAAGCCACGGCUAAUUACGUGCCAGCAGCCGCGGUAAUAAGUAGGUGGCAAGCGUUUUCCGGAAUUAUUGGGGGUAAAGCGCGCGCAGGUGGUUUCUUAAGUCUGAUGUGAAAGCCCACGGCUCAACCGUGGAGGGUCAUUGGAAAUUGGGAGACUUGAGUGCAGAAGAGGAAAGGGGAAUUUCCAUGUGUAGCGGUGAAAUGGGUAGAGAUAUGGGGGAAAACCAGGGGGGAAGGGGGACUUUUUGGUUUGUAACUGACAAUGAGGGGGGAAAGCGUGGGGAGCAAACAGGAUUAGAUACCCUGGUGUUCCACGCGGUAAAGGUGGAGUGUUAAGUGUUGGAGGGUUUCGGCCCUUUAUUGUGGAAGUUAAGGCAUUAAGCAUUCGCCUUGGGGAGUAGGGCGGCAAGGUGGAAAUUCAAGGGAAUGGAGGGGGGCCGGCCCAAGCGGGGGAGCAGGUGGUUUAUUUGGAAGAAAGGGGAGGACCCUUACCAGUUUUGGACUUCUUUUGAAAACCCAAGAGAUAGGGUUUUUCUUUGGGGAGCGGAGUGCCGGGGGGGGCAGGGUGUUGUUCAGUUGGGGUCUUGGGAGGUGGGGUUAAGUCCGGCAAGGAGGGCAACCCUUGUUUUUAGUGGCCUUCAUUAAGUGGGGCAUUUUAAGGGGACGGCCGGGGACAAACCGGAGGAAGGGGGGGAGGAGGUCAAUUCUUCAUGCCCCUUUUGCCUUGGGUUCCACACUUGUUCCAAUGGAGGGUACAAAGAGUGGCAGGACCGGGAGGGGGGGUUAUUUUCUUAAAACCGUUUUCAGUUGGGAUGGUGGGUGGCAAUUGGCUUCCAGGAAGCGGGAUUCGUUGGUAAUCGGGGUUCAGCAGGCGGCGGGGAUUAGGUUCCCGGCCUUGGUCCACACCGCCGGCCCCACCACGGGAGUUGGUACCACCGGAGGUCGGUGGGGUACCUUUUUGGAGCCAGCCGCCUAAGGUGGACAGAUGAUGGGGGAAGUUGUAACAGUGCUGGGGGAGCCUUGAGG